GUAAAACCUGGCAUAGUAUUUCAGGGGAUUUACAGAUCCCAAGAAGUGAAUCAGGGAACGCCUGUGGGCCUUGUGGUCCCCAAGUGAGAAAAGUCCAGCUGCAGGAGUGUCCACCUCCAAUUGGGGUGACAGGAGCUCUCUGUCCUGUCCAGAAUGGUGCUGGCCCUUUGUCUCAGUCUUUUUGUCUGUAAUAACAAAAUACCCAAGACUGGGUAAUUUGUAAAAAACAAAACAACAAGAACAACAAAACCAGGAAUUUAUUUCUCACAGCCUCUGAAGUCUGGGAAGUCCAAGCUCAAGGUGAAGCCUCCUCAGGUGGCAAAGAGCAGAAGCACAAAAGAGACCAAACUCCCUCCCUCAAGCUCUUUUACAAGAACACUGAGACAUUCACAAGUGCUGAGUCCUCAAACCUACUAACCUCCUGAAGGCUACACCUCAAAUACGGAUUGAAUUUUCGCAUGAGUUUUGAGGGACACCCAUUCAAAGCAUAGCACCCUUCGGCUUCAGAGAAGCUCCAGCCCUGUUGUCACCAAGCAGGUUCCCCCUAGGCAGAGCGCCAAGAAGCAGCCCAGGCGAUCCCAAGGCGCACAAGUGCUCUCACCAGGCUGCGCGCUGGCGGGUCGGUGCACAGGGACGGGGUCGCCGCCCACGCGCGCUUGGUUCAGGGAGCCCAGGCUGUCCCUACCCGCGGCUACAAAAGCUCGCCGAGUCUUCCUGUCCACCCAAUCGCCCCACAUGUCAGCGGUUGGUCGCCUCGCGGUGCAGUGCUGGGCACGCGAGCCCCUCCCGCAGUCAUUCUCAGCACAAGCACCAGCCUGGAGCCCCGCAGCGACAGAGCUGAGAGCCCCCAAGCCGCAGAGGUCGUGCGGAGCAGGUAGAUUCUAGUAUUACCUUCCUUUUUCAGAAGAGGAGACCAAUGGGGAGCAUUGGAAUGAUUUGGUUGCAAGCAUACUACACUACUUGUAAACUGCAGACACAGGCUUAAAAAAAGUGAAAAACUAACCAUGCAAUAAAGAAUGGAAUGAACCAUGAAGCUGUUUCUGUGGCCAGUCAUGUUUUUGAAGCAUAUCCCAUGCUAAUUUCUAGAACAGAAGAAACACACGUGUUCUUGUGUGUAAACCCAGUCCAUGGAAGAGACCGUCUGCUUGUCCCUCCUGAUCUCUGGGCCCAGACAACCAGUAGUCACCAUUCCAAGUGAGGGGUGGCUGCAACUCUACAGCCCCGUUCGUCUCUCCUCACUGUCAAAGCUGCUGAGACCCCAGACUCGACACUUGAAAGAAACCCAUGUCUGUGAAGCACUUGUGGACCAUUCAAGAUUGUGGAAGAAUCACUCAAGAGAAGGAGAUAGGUGAUGGGAUCUAGCUUCUGAUGGUUUCUAUUUUAUUGAAUGUCUAAUAGGGCAAGAAUUUGAAAAACGAGAAUGUUUGCCAUGCAGGAGGACCUGGGAAGGAGAUAACACAUUUACAGGGAGAAAGAUUGGGAUUCAGUUGGGAGGAGUAACUGAGGAAAGGGGUCACUCAAAAUAUUUUGUAUUUUAGGUCCUUUUUCUAUUAAGGAGGAAUGGAUUAUCAAAGCCUUAACAUUAAAUUGUAUUGUGUCAGGUGAAUUGCUAUGGUUUGAAUGUGGUGUGUCCCCCUCCCAAACUCACAUUGAAUUUUUUUUUUUUUUUUUGAGACGGAGUCUCGCUCUGUUGCCCAGGCUGGAGUGCAGUGGUGCGAUCUUGGCUCACUACAAGCUCUGCCUCCCGGGUUCAAGAGAUUCUCCUGCCUCAGCCUCCCGAGUAGCUGGGAUUACAGAUGUUCGUCACCACACCUGGCUAAUUUUUGUAUUUUUAAUAGAGAUGGGGUUUCACUAUGUUGGCUAGGCUGGUCUCAAACUCCCGACAUCAGGUGAUCCACCCACCUCGGCCUCCCAAAGUGCUGGGAUUAGAGGAGUGAGCCACUGCACCCAGCCUCACGUUGAGGUUUAAUUGCCAUUGUAACAGUAUAAAGAUGUGGGACCUUUACGAGGUGAUUAGGCAAUGAGGACUCUGCCCUCAUGAAUGGAUUAAUGCUGUUAUCAUGGGAGUGGAUUCCUUAUAAAGGGACACGUUCAGCACCCCCUUGCUCUCUCUCUCACCUUCCGCCAUAUGAUGAUGGGGCACAAAGGCCAUCAUCAGAUGUUGGCCCCUUGUUCUCGAACUUCCCAACCUCCAGAGCAGUAAAAAAAUAAAUCACUGUUCUUUAC
rnacentral:lncRNA from 10 species